AUUGAACGCUGGCGGCAGGCCUAAUACAUGCAAGUCGAACGGUGUCUUCGGACAUAGUGGCGCACGGGUGCGUAACACGUAUGCAACCUACCUUACAUUGGGGGAUAGCCUUUCGAAAGGGAGACUAAUACCGCAUAAGACAGUAGCUGGGCAUCCAGCAGCUGUUAAAGAUUUAUCGAUGUAAGCUGGGCAUGCGUCCAAUUAGCUAGUUGGUGAGGUAACGGCCCACCAAGGCAAUGAUUGGUAGGGGAACUGAGAGGUCAAGCCCCCACACUGGCACUGAGAUACGGGCCAGACUCCUACGGGAGGCAGCAGUAGGGAAUAUUGGGCAAUGGACGCAAGUCUGACCCAGCCAUGCCGCGUGCAGGAUGAAGGCGUCAUGCGUUGUAAACUGCUUUUAUACAGGAAGAAACGACUCUUGCGAGAGGCAUUGACGGUACUGUAUGAAUAAGCACCGGCUAACUCCGUGCCAGCCGCCGCGGUAAGAC
rnacentral:rRNA from 1 species